rnacentral:rRNA from 1 species
CAGUGCGGCUGCUAUAAUGCAAGUCGUACGCUUCUUUUUCCACCGGAGCUUGCUCCACCGGAAAAAGAAGAGUGGCGAACGGGUGAGUAACACGUGGGUAACCUGCCCAUCAGAAGGGGAUAACACUUGGAAACAGGUGCUAAUACCGUAUAACAAUCGAAACCGCAUGGUUUUGAUUUGAAAGGCGCUUUCGGGUGUCGCUGAUGGAUGGACCCGCGGUGCAUUAGCUAGUUGGUGAGGUAACGGCUCACCAAGGCCACGAUGCAUAGCCGACCUGAGAGGGUGAUCGGCCACAUUGGGACUGAGACACGGCCCAAACUCCUACGGGAGGCAGCAGUAGGGAAUCUUCGGCAAUGGACGAAAGUCUGACCGAGCAACGCCGCGUGAGUGAAGAAGGUUUUCGGAUCGUAAAACUCUGUUGUUAGAGAAGAACAAGGAUGAGAGUAACUGUUCAUCCCUUGACGGUAUCUAACCAGAAAGCCACGGCUAACUACGUGCCAGCAGCCGCGGUAAUACGUAGGUGGCAAGCGUUGUCCGGAUUUAUUGGGCGUAAAGCGAGCGCAGGCGGUUUCUUAAGUCUGAUGUGAAAGCCCCCGGCUCAACCGGGGAGGGUCAUUGGAAACUGGGAGACUUGAGUGCAGAAGAGGAGAGUGGAAUUCCAUGUGUAGCGGUGAAAUGCGUAGAUAUAUGGAGGAACACCAGUGGCGAAGGCGGCUCUCUGGUCUGUAACUGACGCUGAGGCUCGAAAGCGUGGGGAGCAAACAGGAUUAGAUACCCUGGUAGUCCACGCCGUAAACGAUGAGUGCUAAGUGUUGGAGGGUUUCCGCCCUUCAGUGCUGCAGCUAACGCAUUAAGCACUCCGCCUGGGGAGUACGACCGCAAGGUUGAAACUCAAAGGAAUUGACGGGGGCCCGCACAAGCGGUGGAGCAUGUGGUUUAAUUCGAAGCAACGCGAAGAACCCUUACCAGGUCUUGACAUCCUUUGACCACUCUAGAGAUAGAGCUUUCCCCUUUCGGGGGCAAAGUGACAGGUGGUUGCCAUUGAUGUCGUCAGCUCGUGUCGUUGAGAUGAUGGCUAAGUCCCGCCAACGAGCGCAUCCAUUUUGUAGCUUGCCA